UUAAUUGAAGCCAAAAUAAAAGAGGCAUCUUAUUGUUAAUAAGAAUAUUGAUUAUUUAAUCCAAUUAAA
rnacentral:tRNA from 1 species